rnacentral:rRNA from 1 species
CUACGGGAGGCAGCAGUGGGGAAUAUUGGACAAUGGGGGCAACCCUGAUCCAGCCAUGCCGCGUGAGUGAUGAAGGCCUUCGGGUUGUAAAGCUCUUUUGGCGGGGACGAUGAUGACGGUACCCGCAGAAUAAGCCCCGGCUAACUUCGUGCCAGCAGCCGCGGUAAGACGAAGGGGGCUAGCGUUGUUCGGAAUUACUGGGCGUAAAGCGCGUGUAGGCGGUUUGCCAAGUUGGGUGUGAAAGCCUUGAGCUCAACUCAAGAAAUGCACUCAGUACUGGCAGACUAGAGGACCGGAGAGGAUAGUGGAAUUCCCAGUGUAGUGGUGAAAUACGUAGAGAUUGGGAAGAACACCAGUGGCGAAGGCGGCUAUCUGGACGGUUUCUGACGCUAAGACGCGAAAGCGUGGGGAGCAAACAGGAUUAGAAACCCCUGUAGUCC